AAAAAAGGUAAGCUACUAAGAGCGAAUGGUGGAUGCCUUGACUGGUAAAGGCGAUGAAGGACGUACUAGACUGCGAUAAGCUACGGGGAGCUGUCAAGAAGCUUUGAUCCGUAGAUUUCCGAAUGGGGCAACCCAAUGUAUAGAGAUAUACAUUACCUAUAUAGGAGCGAACGAGGGGAAUUGAAACAUCUUAGUACCCUCAGGAAAAGAAAUCAAUAGAGAUUGCGUCAGUAGCGGCGAGCGAAAGCGCAAGAGGGCAAACCCAGUGCUUGCACUGGGGGUUGUAGGACUGCAAUGUGCAAGAGCUGAGUUUAGCAGAACAUUCUGGAAAGUAUAGCCAUAGAGGGUGAUAGUCCCGUAUGCGAAAAACAAAGCUUAGCUAGCAGUAUCCUGAGUAGGGCGGGACACGAGGAAUCCUGUCUGAAUCCGGGUCGACCACGAUCCAACCCUAAAUACUAAUACCAGAUCGAUAGUGCACAAGUACCGUGAGGGAAAGGUGAAAAGAACUGAGGUGAUCAGAGUGAAAUAGAACCUGAAACCAUUUGCUUACAAUCAUUCAGAGCACUAUGUAGCAAUACAGUGUGAUGGACUGCCUUUUGCAUAAUGAGCCUGCGAGUUGUGGUGUCUGGCAAGGUUAAGCAAACGCGAAGCCGUAGCGAAAGCGAGUCUGAAUAGGGCGCUUAGUCAGAUGCUGCAGACCCGAAACGAAGUGAUCUAUCCAUGAGCAAGUUGAAGCUAGUGUAAGAACUAGUGGAGGACUGAACCCAUAGGCGUUGAAAAGCCCCGGGAUGACUUGUGGAUAGGGGUGAAAGGCCAAUCAAACUUCGUGAUAGCUGGUUCUCUCCGAAAUAUAUUUAGGUAUAGCGUUGUGUCGUAAUAUAAGGGGGUAGAGCACUGAAUGGGCUAGGGCAUACACCAAUGUACCAAACCCUAUCAAACUCCGAAUACCUUAUAUGUAAUCACAGCAGUCAGGCGGCGAGUGAUAAAAUCCGUCGUCAAGAGGGAAACAACCCAGACUACCAGCUAAGGUCCCUAAAUCUUACUUAAGUGGAAAACGAUGUGAAGUUACUUAAACAACCAGGAGGUUGGCUUAGAAGCAGCCAUCCUUUAAAGAAAGCGUAAUAGCUCACUGGUCUAGUGAUUUUGCGCGGAAAAUAUAACGGGGCUAA
rnacentral:rRNA from 1 species